CCCAAAUGUUCAGACAUUAAUAUUCACCAUAUCUCUGCUGACUCCGUAUUACAUGUCGUUUUUCCUCAUCAACAAAACUUCAAGAAAAAGCACGAAGCAAAAAAAUUAAAAUAUUAAUGAAAUACUUUUGCAUAAAGGGAGAGAAAAAUGGGCCAAUUACUUCUAUUAGAAGACUGUUUUGUGAAGUUAUCAAGCUGCAAUAUGGGCUGUCAUAGACUGAUGGUAUUCUCUUUACUAAGCAAAAACUUGGUUCUUGGAUUUUUAACUAAUUGGACACUUACUCUUGGCAAGUCGAUUUUAAGGGUAAGUUUUGCCCAAUAUGAGUGUUAUACCACAAUCGUACUUUUCAGAAAUUUUUGGCACUUCAAAAUUGAAUAGAGUUAGGGAAAAAAUACGGUUCACUUUACUGGAGAUGUCCAAUAAUUUUAUAUGCAGUAGAAAGUUGACAUGGUUGGGAAUGCUGUUUCUGACCUGAUCAUUGUGAUACAUUUUUUUAGACUGUAAUUUACUUUAUUUUUCAACAACUUCAGCUCCCACCGAUUCCAAAUGCAGAAAUAGCAAUGAUAAAUAGGCAUUCCGCUCCAUAAUGCAAAUUAUGACAUGGGCCUCAAGUGUCUUGAAGUUUUCCAGGUAGAAAUUGAUUUAGAAUAGUUUAAAAUCCAUUAACCACUCUGCAGAUGAACAAGUAUAAUUAGAUAUGCAGUAAUGAACUUACACUCGUCACAUUUAAUAGGCACGUCUAAAAGUUUAACCUCCUCCUAAAAAAUGUUUAUUUGUUCAAAUUCUGUCUUCAGUAUGUCCUAUCACGUGCUUGUUGAAUUCACAUUUCAUCAAAUGCACGACACGUGGUAAGGACUUUGGUGGAGAGCCCAUAAUGUUCCAACUAUAAAUGCUGUCUUGAGUAAUUGUAUAUUGUGAACUUAGUCACCUUCGGAGACUGGAGAGGAAUUUCCAGAAUCUGAUAA
rnacentral:lncRNA from 1 species